UCAGAUUGAACGCUGGCGGCAGGCCUAACACAUGCAAGUCGAGCGGUAACAUUUCUAAGCUUGCUUAGAAGAUGACGAGCGGCGGACGGGUGAGUAAUGCUUGGGGAUCUGCCUGAUGGCGGGGGACAACCACUGGAAACGGUGGCUAAUACCGCAUAAUACCUAUGGGUCAAAGUGUGGGACCUUCGGGCCACACGCCAUCAGAUGAACCCAAGUGAGAUUAGCUGGUUGGUAAGGUAACGGCUUACCAAGGCGACGAUCUCUAGCUGGUCUGAGAGGAUGAUCAGCCACACUGGGACUGAGACACGGCCCAGACUCCUACGGGAGGCAGCAGUGGGGAAUAUUGGACAAUGGGGCCAACCCUGAUCCAGCCAUGCCGCGUGUGUGAAGAAGGCCUUCGGGUUGUAAAGCACUUUCAGUGGUGAGGAAGGUGGUGUCGUUAAUAGCGGCAUCAAUUGACGUUAGCCACAGAAGAAGCACCGGCUAACUCCGUGCCAGCAGCCGCGGUAAUACGGAGGGUGCGAGCGUUAAUCGGAAUUACUGGGCGUAAAGCGCACGUAGGCGGUAUGUUAAGCAAGAUGUGAAAGCCCAGAGCCCAACUCUGGAAUAGCAUUUUGAACUGGCACGCUAGAGUUUUGGAGAGGGUGGUAGAAUUUCCAGUGUAGCG
rnacentral:rRNA from 1 species